GACGAACGCUGGCGGCGUGCUUAACACAUGCAAGUCGAACGGAAAGGCCCUGCUUUUGUGGGGUGCUCGAGUGGCGAACGGGUGAGUAACACGUGAGUAACCUGCCCUUGACUUUGGGAUAACUUCAGGAAACUGGGGCUAAUACCGGAUAGGAGCUCCUGCUGCAUGGUGGGGGUUGGAAAGUUUCGGCGGUUGGGGAUGGACUCGCGGCUUAUCAGCUUGUUGGUGGGGUAGUGGCUUACCAAGGCUUCGACGGGUAGCCGGCCUGAGAGGGUGACCGGCCACAUUGGGACUGAGAUACGGCCCAGACUCCUACGGGAGGCAGCAGUGGGGAAUAUUGCACAAUGGGCGGAAGCCUGAUGCAGCAACGCCGCGUGCGGGAUGACGGCCUUCGGGUUGUAAACCGCUUUCGCCUGUGACGAAGCGUGAGUGACGGUAAUGGGGAAAGAAGCACCGGCUAACUACGU
rnacentral:rRNA from 1 species